UACGUAGGACCCGAGCGUUAUCCGGAAUUACUGGGCGUAAAGAGUUGCGUAGGUGGUUUGUUAAGUGAAUAGUGAAAUCGUGCGGCUCAACCGUAUACACAUUAUUUAAACUGACAGACUUGAGUAUGGUAGAGGUCACUGGAAUUCCAAGUGUAGGAGUGAAAUCCGUAGAUAUUUGGAGGAACACCGAUGGCGUAGGCAGGUGACUGGACCAUUACUGACACUGAGGCACGAAAGCGUGGGGAGCAAACGGG
rnacentral:rRNA from 1 species